CCUACGGGAGGCAGCAGUGGGGAAUAUUGCACAAUGGGGGGAACCCUGAUGCAGCAAUGCCGCGUGGGUGAAGAAGCACUCCGGUGCGUAAAGCCCUGUCAGCAGGGAAGAAAAUGACAGUACCUGGACAAGAAGCCCCGGCUAACUACGUGCCAGCAGCCGCGGUAAUACGUAGGGGGCAAGCGUUAUCCGGAUUUACUGGGUGUAAAGGGAGCGUAGACGGCAAUGCAAGUCCGAUGUGAAAACCCAGGGCUCAACCGUGGGAGUGCAUUGGAAACUGAAUGGCUGGAGUGCAGGAGAGGUAA
rnacentral:rRNA from 1 species